UACGUAGGGGGCUAGCGUUGUCCGGAAUCAUUGGGCGUAAAGCGCGUGUAGGCGGCCCGAUAAGUCCGCUGUGAAAGUCGGGGGCUCAACCCUCGAAUGCCGGUGGAUACUGUCGGGCUAGAGUGCGGAAGAGGCGAGUGGAAUUCCUGGUGUAGCGGUGAAAUGCGCAGAUAUCAGGAGGAACACCAAUUGCGAAGGCAGCUCGCUGGGACGUAACUGACGCUGAGACGCGAAAGCGUGGGGAGCAAACAGG
rnacentral:rRNA from 1 species